AACGUAGGAGACAAACGUUAUCCGGAGUUACUGGGCGUAAAGGGCGUGUAGGUGGUUUCGUAAGUCUGGCGUGAAAUAUCUCGGCUUAACCGAGGCAGGUCGUCGGAUACUGCGGGACUAGAGGACGGUAGAGGCGUGUGGAAUUCCGGGUGUAGUGGUGAAAUGCGUAGAGAUCGGGAAGAACAUCGGUGGCGAAGGCGCUCUACUGGACCACAACUGACACUCAGGGACGAAAGCUAGGGGAGCGAAUGGG
rnacentral:rRNA from 1 species